UACGUAGGGUGCAAGCGUUGCUCGGAAUCACUGGGCGUAAAGGGUGCGUAGGCGGCCUGGUAAGUCUGGCGUGAAAGCCCAGGGCUCAGCCCUGGAAGUGCGCUAGAAAACUGCCGUGGCUCGAGUCCGGUAGGGGAGUGUGGAAUUCCUGGUGUAGCGGUGAAAUGCGCAGAUAUCAGGAGGAACACCGGUGGCGAAGGCGCCACUCUGGGCCGAAACUGACGCUGAGGAACGAAAGCGUGGGUAGCAAACAGG
rnacentral:rRNA from 1 species